rnacentral:rRNA from 1 species
UACGGAGGAUGCGAGCGUUAUCCGGAUUUAUUGGGUUUAAAGGGUGCGUAGGCGGGAUGCCAAGUCAGCGGUAAAAAUGCGGUGCUCAACGCCGUCGAGCCGUUGAAACUGGCGUUCUUGAGUGGGCGAGAAGUAUGCGGAAUGCGUGGGGUAGCGGUGAAAUGCAUAGAUAUCACGCAGAACUCCGAUUGCGAAGGCAGCAUACCGGCGCCCUACUGACGCUGAGGCACGAAAGCGUGGGUAUCGAACAGG